AUACACCUACUUUUUUCCUCCUUUUUUAAUAUUUCACAAUUGGGGGAACCCUGAUGCAGCGACGCCGCGUGGGUGAGGAAGUACUUCGGUAUGUAAAGCCCUAUCAGCAGGGAAGAAAAUGACGGUACCUGACUAAGAAGCCCCGGCUAACUACGUGCCAGCAGCCGCGGUAAUACGUAGGGGACAAGCGUUAUCCGGAUUUACUGGGUGUAAAGGGAGCGUAGACGGCGUGCAAAGUCUGAUGUGAAAGGCCGGGGCCCAACCCCGGGACUGCAUUGGAAACUGGCAUGCUGGAGUGCCGGAGG
rnacentral:rRNA from 1 species